rnacentral:lncRNA from 1 species
UGCCUUGAAGCAAUCUUGAAAAUAUUAUUCAAUAGUUCAAUUUGCAGACUUUCCUGGUGUGGUGGAUUAUUCAAAGUGGAGUCGUAGGAGACAUAGCAAUUAGGAAGAAACGACUCUAUAUCAAGGAAGAGUAAAAAUGAAGGAGAGGUGGCGCCAAAAAAAAGAAAAGAUGUAGAGCUUGGUUGUUGAGCAAGGUCGACUAAAGGCCGCAAAGGCAAAAUAAAGAAAAAAAUUCAAGAAAGGCCUUUCCAUUUGAAAAAAUUAUUUAUAUAUAUAUACCAUGAGAGAACCCUUCACUUCUGCUCUAAAAUCUAAUUGUAAACCCUAAGAUCAUGUCAUCAAAAAAUCUUUACAAAACAUUAUCGAACCAUCUCCAAACUAACCAUUUUCUCUCAAACACUGCUCCCCUAAUUUUUCAAACAUAUUCCCUGGUCAAAUAAAGAUUAAUGGAAAUAAAAACAUGGCGAAUCUAUGGCCAACAAAACAAA